rnacentral:piRNA from 1 species
UGGAAGUGCUCAGUAAUCUAUUUACAACAAA